GAGUUUGAUCCUGGCUCAGAUCGAACGCUGGCGGCAGGCUUAACACAUGCAAGUCGAACGGUAACAGGGAGAAGCUUGCUUCUUUGCUGACGAGUGGCGGACGGGUGAGUAAUGCUUGGGAAUCUGGCUUAUGGAGGGGGAUAACUACGGGAAACUGUAGCUAAUACCGCGUAAUAUCUUCGGAUUAAAGGGUGGGACUUUCGGGCCACCUGCCAUAAGAUGAGCCCAAGUGGGAUUAGGUAGUUGGUGGGGUAAAGGCCUACCAAGCCGACGAUCUCUAGCUGGUCUGAGAGGAUGACCAGCCACACUGGAACUGAGACACGGUCCAGACUCCUACGGGAGGCAGCAGUGGGGAAUAUUGCACAAUGGGGGGAACCCUGAUGCAGCCAUGCCGCGUGAAUGAAGAAGGCCUUCGGGUUGUAAAGUUCUUUCGGUGAUGAGGAAGGUGUUUGUUUUAAUAGAACAAGCAAUUGACGUUAGUCACAGAAGAAGCACCGGCUAACUCCGUGCCAGCAGCCGCGGUAAUACGGAGGGUGCGAGCGUUAAUCGGAAUGACUGGGCGUAAAGGGCACGCAGGCGGUGACUUAAGUGAGAUGUGAAAGCCCCGAGCUUAACUUGGGAAUUGCAUUUCAUACUGGGUCGCUAGAGUACUUUAGGGAGGGGUAGAAUUCCACGUGUAGCGGUGAAAUGCGUAGA
rnacentral:rRNA from 1 species